rnacentral:rRNA from 1 species
AGCUAUAUGUGGAGCGGUGAAAGGCUCAGUAACGGGCGAUUUAUUUAAUCUCCUGGGACGGACAACAUCGGGAAACUGAUGGGAAAACGUCUAAGUUGCAGUUUUGUUAUUGCGACGUAAACGGUAAUCGUGCAGGAGAGUAAGAUGCCAUCCUAUCAGUUAGUAAGUAGGGUAAGGGCCUACUUAGACGAAGACGGGUACGGGGAAUGAGGGUUUGAUUCCGGAGAGGGAGCCUGAGAGAUGGCUACCAGGACCAAGGUCAGCAGCAGGCGCGAAAAUUAUCGAAGCCCGCCUAGGGGCGAUAGUGAGGAGACGUGUAUUCGAAGUACGUGUAAAGAACGUACUAAUAACUGGAGGUCAAGUCUGGUGCCAGCAUCCGCGGUAAUUCCAGCUCCAGGGGUGUCUAUGAUGAUUGCUGCGAUUAAAAAGUCCGUAGUCAAGCUGACUGACUGACCUGCAAUGUGAUUGAUUAAAGAACGAGCAGGGUUAGGAAAGCAGAGAAUUAGGAGCGACCGAGGGCUAGAGUAUUGAAUGGCGAGAGGUGAAAUUUGAUGACCCAUUCAGGAGUGACAAAGGCGAAGGCACUAGUCAAGGGCGAAUCCGAUGAUCAAGGACGUAGGCUAGAGUUUCGAAAACGAUUAGAGACCGGAGUAGUUCUAGCAGUAAACUAUGCCGACGCCGUGAUAUUGUUUUUUGUGGCGGUAUUGCGGAAGAGAAAUCAAGUAAAGCUUUGGGGAGAGUACGCGCGCAAGCGAUAAAUUUAAAGGAAAUUGACGGAGGACACCACAAGGAGUGGAGUGUGCGGCUUAAUUUGACUCAACGCGGGACAGCUUACCAGCCCGAUAAUCGAGCGAGCGUAGUACGCGAUAGAUUAAAGAGUGGUGCAUGGCUGCUAUCGACAGUUGGGGUGACCUUAGGGUUAAUUCCGGCAAGUAGUGAGACCCCUGCAGAUAGUGGACAGGUAUUUUUCAAAAUACAGGAAGGAAGGGACAAGAGCAGGUCAGUGAUGCCCUUAGAUGGCCUGGGCUGCACGCGCACUACAGUGGUCAUUAUAAGUAGAAGUUAGAUAUAAAGAUGAUCGAGAGGGACUGAGCUUUGUAAGAGGCUCACGAACGAGGAAUUGCUAGUAAUCGUAGGCUCAUUAAGAUACGAUGAAUAUGUCCCUGUACCUUGUACACACCGCCCGUCGUUAUCGAAGAUGGAAUUGUGUGCGAACGAGCAACAAGCGAGUGAGCGCAUAGUUCUAGAUGUGAUAAAAGUCGUAACAAGGCAACUGUAGGAGAACCUGUAGUUGGAUCAUACAGAUUUAUUUUUAAGUAGUUUUUUAUAAUUUCCUUACGCAAGGGAUCGUUUGGUUCUAUGUACGAUGAAGGUCGAAGCAGUAUUCGAUAAUGUAAGAUGGUUGUAUAAAUUGUCUUAUGUUACUGAAUAGAGUAGUGAUGCUCGAAUACUCCUUUGAAUUAAGCAUAUGAGUAAAGGAAGGAGAAGAAACUAACAAGGAUUCUCUUAUUAGUGGCGAAUGAACAGAGAAUAGCCCUAAGUGUAAUCAAAUUCAUUGAAUUUGAGAUGUCAGGUAUCAUGUAGUGUGAAUAUACUGGAAAGUAUUGCCAGAGAGAGUUAUAGCCUCGUAGCACUAUUUUGUAGGGAUGAGUAGUUGUGCUCGGUAAUGCACAAUGAAAUAGGUGGUAGUGUCCAUCUAAGGCUAAAUAUGACAUAGAGACCGAUAGUGGAUAAGUAAAGUGAUCGAAAAUGGAAUAGA